rnacentral:rRNA from 1 species
GUGCACGCUGGCGGUAGGCCUAACACAUGCACGUCGAACGGCAGCACCGUAAGAGCUUGCUCUUACGGGUGGCGAGUGGCGGACGGGUGAGGAAUACAUCGGAAUCUACUUUUUCGUGGGGGAUAACGUAGGGAAACUUACGCUAAUACCGCAUACGACCUACGGGUGAAAGCAGGGGAUCUUCGGACCUUGCGCGAUUGAAUGAGCCGAUGUCGGAUUAGCUAGUUGGCGGGGUAAAGGCCCACCAAGGCGACGAUCCGUAGCUGGUCUGAGAGGAUGAUCAGCCACACUGGAACUGAGACACGGUCCAGACUCCUACGGGAGGCAGCAGUGGGGAAUAUUGGACAAUGGGCGCAAGCCUGAUCCAGCCAUACCGCGUGGGUGAAGAAGGCCUUCGGGUUGUAAAGCCCUUUUGUUGGGAAAGAAAAGCAGCAGGUUAAUACCCCGCUGUUCUGACGGUACCCAAAGAAUAAGCACCGGCUAACUUCGUG